rnacentral:lncRNA from 1 species
UGCAGGAGCUAUAGUCAAAUUUUCUCUUAAAAACGGUAAAUCGUUUACCGCCUUCAUAAAGGCGGUAAAUAAUUCACCGUCUUUUUAAUUUUCACAACGGCGGUGAAUCAUUCGCCGCCUUCUUGAAGAUUGUUUGUUAGGAUUUUUUAGUUUGUUAAGAUUAUAUGUAAUUUGUUGAAAUUUUUAUAUGGUUAUUAGGAUUAUAUAUAGGAAAUAAAAAAAGUGAGGUUGUUAGGGUUAUAUGUGGAUUGAUUGGUAAAAUUGUAUGGAUAAAUUAUUAGAAUUUUUUUGGUUCUUAAAAUUGUGUGUGGUUUGUUGAAAAUUUUAUGUGGUUGUUAGUAUUAUAUGAAAAAUAGAAAAAAAAAAAAAAAGGGAGAAUGAUGGUGAAUGAUUCACCACUUUUGUAGGAAAUUAUAAAGUUGGUGAACCAUUUACCGCCUUCAUGAAGGCGAAGACGAUAAACGAUUCACUGUCUUUAAGAGAAAAUUCUACCGUGGCUCCUACAUGGCAAAAUAA